AAAGAAAUAUUUUAAAAAAGCUUCUAACUUUUUAUAAAGCAUUUAUUUGUUU
rnacentral:tRNA from 1 species